GCCAAUGUAGCUCAGUUGGCAGAGCAGCUCACUCGUAAUGAGCAGGCCCGCGGUUCGAAUCCGCGCAUUGGCUCCA
rnacentral:tRNA from 1 species